UAGUCAAGUGUGGUGCUCGAAACCGGACGCACCAGAACAGUGCUCGUCGGGCUAAAAGCCUUUUAAAGGUGACGGAUCCGGAUAGUGCGGAGAACGGAUAUUCUCAGGCUCAGGCCACAAAGGCACGGACAACAAAUCCGAGGCACGUGCCAAGAUCCCAAACAAGACCGGACCAGCACCAGCAACAUCAGGUCGGAAGAAACGAAGCCACGAGGAAAGUCAACUCGAAAAGGGUCGCCCAAAGCGGCCCUUUUUUGGUUCCGGCAUAUUUUGCUCCACAUCUCGGCACGUGUUCAUGUUGCUGCGCACCCAUUGGUAUCGGCUCCAACCUUUUUUCUUUCCGGCACAAAACGAGCUCCGAACUCUUCCGAAACUGCACGGCACAGACAGCGCCAUCUGUGUUUUCAACCACAUACUAGACGGAAAUUUUUUUUUAACUUCGUUUCGUCCACGGUCCGGAUCACAGCAUUGUCCAUCGAAACACAGGAUCGAAUCGCCGCCCAUCCUCUGUCGAAUGAGCCAUUCCUGGCUUGGAUCACGCGCUAGGGUCGAGACUUUUGAUCGCGGUAAGAUGAAGCCAUUGACGAGAACGAUUGUCGCGACGUUGGAACAGCACUGGACUGACACCCACCGUCUGCAUCCGGGGAAGGAGAACUCGGGAUUUUUGCUCCGCAUCCACAUGGACAGCAGGCGCGGCACACCUGAUGUACCAGCUGUUUCACCGAAAAGCCAACAGAAGCGGCGAUCGUGGCACAGAUGGCCACUCCAUCAUCGCCGGCUUCGGAGCCAGCAGCUGUUGAACGUGAGCCGUAAGUGAAAAUUUUACGCUACUACACUCCAACCAAAAAUGACCGGAGUAAUCGGGCGAUGGGUGGGAGAUAAUAAAA